CUACAUAAAUACCCUCAGACAUUAAUGGUGACUUCUUUAGAAAUGUUUUUUUUCUAACCGAUUGUGAUCAUUUGAAAAGCCUGUCUGACAAUAUUCAAAUGAGUCCAGAUUUUGGUCAUUUAAAAAUCAUUAUAUGACAGAUUUAUAUAUAGUGCAUGUUAUUACAUUUACAAGAACCUCUAAUGGAAUCACUAUAAGUUGGGCCAAUAAACCGAAUUGUUAGCUGCAGUGGAAUUACAGUAUGAUAUGCGAUUAUUGAUCAUGAGGCACACAAUUCAUACACAUAAGGGAAAAUAAGCAUAUGUAUAAGAUUGUUAAACAGGUUCAAUUACACAUAACCCAUCAUUGUACAGAGACAUAAUAGUGAGACAUGUAUCAAUAUAUGUAAUAUCUGGAAGUAGCCAACAGUAAUAAGUAUGUGCAUAGGGCUCAAUUUCAGUUAAUUUGG